CUGGCUGUUGGACUGGGGCCUGCUGUUGGGCUGCUGGAAAUGGGCCUGCUUCUUCCUUUUUUUUCUGCUCUUUUCUUUCUUUUUUUUGCUUAAUUUUUUUGGGGGGCUGGGGCUGCUGCUGGGUUUCUUGGGUCGCGAGUCGCGGGUCGGAUCGUGUCGGGUCGGGUCGACCUGAUUGUGUUAAAAAUCUUUUUUUUUUUCUUUCCUUUCUUCUUCCUCUUCUUCUUCCUCCUUCCUCUUCACGCCUUAGUUGCACCGCCGCCACUUGCCGCCGUUCGUACCGCCACCGGAGCAGGUGGCUAGGGAGGAGGGAGGCCAUGCCUUAGGCCGGCGGCCGGAAAAUCGGGGAGUAGGUGCGCAAAUCGCGUUUGGCUGCUAGAAGGACCAGAUUGCAAACGUAGCAACACUUCUGAGGCCAAAACAUAAUUUCGAGAAAAUUUAGGGGUCAUAAUGUAAUUUAAAAAAGUUUAUGGGUCAAAAUGUAAUUUCGGAAAAGUUUAGGGGUCAAAAUAUAAUUUUAGGAAAAUUUAGGGGUCAAAAUGAAAUUUCAAAAAGUUUAGGAGCCAAAAUGUAAUUUUCUAUUUUUUGUAUUUUUUUUUGAAUUUUUUUUUUUAAAACACGAAAUCGAGCCAGACAAAAUUCAGUGAUUACAGUAAUUACUUAAGAAACUGAAGCCAUAACAGACUAAUUUUCUCGUAUGUAUGUAUGUACAUUUAGGGUUCAUUAUUGACUUACCUUUUUCGCGUAUUAGUGGCACUGUUGUCAUCGCCUUCAAUUUGAAAGAUACUGAAUUUGUUUUGAAAA